CUUAGAGUGGUAAGCUUAUUCUCUGCUUUCAAUAGAAAGAGUAGUAUGCCUUGAGCCUUAAACUCUUCCUUAUAGUCAUGUCUACCUACUGAAGAUGGACACAAGUGCACUAAAACAGCUAAGACAUUAGGCUCCUUCCAUCUGCCCCUACUAAAGCACUCGAGGAAGAAGACAGUCCUUUACCGAAGAAGGCGCACCGGUUGAUGCCAAGAAGUAGGCUUGCU
rnacentral:lncRNA from 1 species